GCUCAGAGGUUCACACAGGUGCAGCUUCGAGGCCCACAGUCUGCGACCUUCUUGUUUGGAGAUGAGAACUUCUCCUGGAAGCAGGGAUUAUGAUGUCUGAUUUUCAAAAAAUGCCAUAAAAAAUCAAUUUAGUAAACCAAUAUUUCUCACUCUCUUGCCUGCACUGGUGCUGGGGAUGAAAUGGUGUCCCUGCCCUCAGGGAAUUUGGAAUCUCGUGAGGAACUGCUGUGGGACACUGCCCUCAUCACGGGUGAGGGAGCUCUCUACACACUGGCCCUCCCCAGGCCAGAUGCAGCUGCCGUCUUUUCCUUGAGCGACCAGCAGAUGGCAGCCUCGUCCCAAAAAUGCGGUGAUGGCCCCACUGGGCUUCUGAGCUGGCCGGAUCCCCGGAGAUAAUUCGCCACAAAAGUGUUGACCCCUGGAGUC
ensembl:lncRNA novel transcript, sense overlapping ABCC11